GGCUCCUUGGAAGCUCGGGUCUUCUUUCCCGAGGGAGGUGGGGGGAGAGCGAUAGAGUCUAUUUUCGGUGGUCAGCCACGGGGAUGCCUUGAGGAGAGGGCAAAGGGUCACCAGCAAGACGGGUCCUAUUCUGGGACAGAGACACAAGCUUCCUUCCUGUCCGGCUCAGUCACAGUCUCUGUAAAGUUGAAUCUUUCACAGAGGACUGGAAGGAUUUGACAAUGUUCUCCUGGGCUGGGGCGUCUGGAUUCAGGAGAGGGGAGCAGGCAGAAGAGUCAGUCACUAGGUGUUGCUGCAAAGUUGAGACUAGUGGGAGGCUGAAUGGCUGUCACAAUGUGGAGUAGUAGCACAGAGGAACUCAGCAGUCCCUGGGUGUUAACUUUUUUUUUUUUUUCAGGAGCUGGGGAUGGAACCCAGGGCCUUGCGCUUGCUAGCGCUCUACUACUGAGCUAAAUCCCCAACCCUGGGUGUUAACUUUUAUUUUUCCUUUGGUGCCUGGGACAGAACUGAGGGCCUCAUAUAUGCCAGGCGAGCUGAGUCUUCUGCUGAGUCAUAUUUCAACCUAAAUCAACCUUUUCCUCCGAUCCUCAGGCAUCCUCACAGUGCUAAAUGCGACGAGAGGAAAGAACAAGAAAGAUGUGAACGGUGCGCACCGCUAAUGGAGCCAGAGGGCUGACUCAGGUUAAUGGACUCCGUAGAAGUCCAGGUGAAAUGCUCUGAAACUUAGCUGGAGGCCAGAGGGAUGUGUGUCUCUUUACUGACCCCAAUCAGCAGCUAGAGUGAGGUUAAACUGAGGGCUGAGAAAAGAAAAUCUUGUUCUCCUUAAAUGAGCAGAGGGCCUCCUGGAUUGGGGAGGGGAUGUCCAGGAGCAGAUAGGACACCCCUUGCCUUUGGAUCGAAGGGCAUUUGUUGUACCAGGCCUUUGUUUUGUUCCAGACAGGCACUCUGGGGAAGGCAUCCUGGGAAUUUGGCCUGCAAACAGAAAGGGCAUUUCCUUGUGUGGAUUUCCUGUUUAGGUCUGUGUAGAAAUCCAAAGACUGCCUGGCCGCAUAAAUCCUCUAGACAUUACUGGUGUGGACACUCUGGCUGGAUGCCAUGGGAACACUGUUCAGAAAUAGAAAGGAGAGAAGCACAAUCACUCUCCGGGUGUCGGGUGGGCUUCAGGGGUUUGUACCAGAGGAGAUGAGCGUGGGCCGCCCUCCAGCUUUGGCGACCACGGGUUCCAUUUCCCUCUUGAGGGACGGGGAGCAGUUCAGUCACGGGAGGAACCCGAGACUUCACCAAAGAUGAGCCUGAUGGAAGUUUCAACUGAGCAAAAGACAUUGAAUGACCAGGAGAAAGAUCCGACCACAGAGAUAAUGCCACCAGGGUGUCGCUGCUGGACCAUGGCCAUCAUGCUGCUGGUCCCUGGGAGCCGGUACACCCAUCACAAGUCUGCCCGCAUUCAGUUCAUCUGACACAGCCACCACAGAUGACUUCUGCCUCCCCAUGGGCCCUCUAACCAGCCAGGGCCCAGCCUUGUGCUGGCUUCUGAAUGGACAGGCAAGAGGAAUGGAGUCCCACCUCUCCUUUUCUGGGUAUUCCUUACAAAGAAGGGCAUUUAAAGAUCAAAUAGCCAAGAAUAAUUGAUGUGCAUGUUUAUGUACAGCAGUCACCCAUAAUAAAAUAAAGGGAAUCCAGAAAUAAACAG